ensembl:lncRNA
CUCCAGCAGCAGGAUGUGAUCCACCGGCAAGGAGGGACGCCAAUAAGGUGUCCGAUAAGAUAAGUCUUAUAAAAUAUAUAGAUGUAUGAUAAUUAAGACUGAGCUAACAGAUGAGAAUCCUAGUCAUUGGCCAAGCAGCUUUGAACCUAAUACAAGUUUCUGUGUGUGUGUGUGGGGGGGCUGGUGUAAAGCUCACACGUGGCAGUGGGGCUCAGCGGCUUUAUUGUAACACAUACACACCCAUACACACACUCACACACAUACACACUCACACACACAUACACACAAACACACACAUACACAUACUCAUAUACACACAUACACACUCACACACACAUACACACGCAUACACAAAUACACACACAUACACACAAACACACAUACACACACAUACACAUACAUACACACGUACACACACACAUACACUCACAUAUACAUCCACACGCAUACAGACUCACACACGCAUACACAUACUCACACACAUACACAUUCACACAUGCAUACACACACUCACACUCACACACACACAUGUACCACGCACACACACACCACACCCAUACACACACACACACACACACACACACACACCACACACACACACCACCCCCACAGACACACACACCACGCAUACACAUACCACACACCAUGCACACAUACACACCACACACCACACACCACACCCAUACACACACACCACACACCACACACCACACCCAUACACACACACCACACACUCCAUACAUAGACACCACACACUCCAUACAUACACACACACACACACACAGCCCUCAAAAUCCACAGGAUGGAUGCACACAUGACCUCACUCAGACUGAAGCAGCAGGCACGGGGCCUGCGUGUGCCCCAAAUGGUAUCCAGGGCUGAAGGAGAUGUGGACACAUGUGCCCGUUCCUAGUCCAGAAGCAACAGGGAGCUGACUGAAGGGUUUCCUCAGGGUCAUUUUCAGAGACUCCCUCUCUAGCUCCACUUCCAGUCAAACAAUGAAACACAUUGCACUUGUACCCCCGCCCGACCCUCGCUCACUUGGUCCCUGUCAUCCGUGUGGCUCCCACUUUGCGGUAUAGGCCUGCAGCCCUGGCCUUGAACUCCUCCCCAUCCUGCAACAGCCUGUCUGCCAUCUUCCCUGUGUUGCAAAUAGAUACCCCAAACAUCAGUGCUGUGAUAGGAAGCACAGGAAGUUGGGAUAGUUCUUGACUGACAACUUGACAAGAUUUAGAAUCACCUAGGGGACAAAACAGAGAUUGUCUGUUAGGAUGUUUCCAGGGAGGUCUAAUAGAGAAAGGAAAACAAACCCUGAGGGGACAAUUCUAUAGGCUGGGGUAUUCUAUAGGUUGGGUAUCUAGGGUAUUCUAUAGACUGAGGUAUUCUAUAGGCAGGGUGGGGUAUUCUAUGGGCUGGGGUAUUCUAUAGGCUGUGGUAUUCUAUAGACGGAGGUAUUCUAUAGACUGAGGUAUUCUAUAGAUGGAGGUAUUCUGUAGACUGAGGUAUUCUAUAGGCUGGGUAUCUAUCUGGGGUAUUAUAUAGACUGAGGUAUUCUAUAGGCUGGGUAUCUGGGGUAUUCUAUAGGCUAGAGUCCCAGGCUGACUCAAAGGGAGAAAGGCUGUGGCAUUCUAUAGACAGAGGUAUUCUAUAGACUGAGGUAUUCUAUAGAUGGAGGUAUUCAUCUUCCUCUGCUUUGGGACUACACACAUGUGAAGGACAAUGUGGACAGUCACCUCAUAACCCUGCCACCAUGCUGGACUACAGCUUCAAACAAUGAACCAAAAUUACACCUUCCUUCCUUCCUUAAACUGCCUGCCUUUGUUGGGUGUUUUGUGCAGCACUGAGAAAGAUAAGUAGCACACUGCCCAGUGGAAAAAUUGGAGACUGGAGUUUUUCCAUGUCUUCCCUCGAGCUUCAGCAAGCACCUAUCUGGGAUGGUACAAAUGGAUUCCUUCUGCAGUGCUGUGUGUUCCGACUACCUGCUAUCCCGAGCUCCUCCACCCCCAAAAGAAGGGCCGUUCCAGAAUAUGCCUGGCAACUCUGCUGUUCUAAACACAGCUCAAAGGAUGUCUCACUCAGAACGAAUAAUAAGCAAUUUUUUGUUCAAUUUUGUGCUAAAUUGAUAGCUGUCGGGAGCAGAAGGGGGCCCCUUCUAACAAAGAAAGCAGCUGUGGUCAGCAAGACAGCAUCCAUUAUCUCCGAUGUGUGUUUUCAUGUCUGAGGCCUUUCUACAUUCAGUUUUGAAACAGUCAUUACUUUCUUUGGCUUAAUAUUAUCCCAUAAGUACUUAUCAUACCAUUGAAGACUCUUAAUAUCAUUUUAAUAACUGUUGUACUGCGGGUACUGAAUUUCCUUAGCGGUUCCUAAUACUGGAGAUGUCAAGAAUUUCGGCCCUGCAAUAUUUAUCAUCUAUUGGGUACCCAGCCCUCAGUGCUCAUGGCUCAGUGGCAUGUUUAAGGACUUUGGAAUGACAGUGCCAUCCUUCCUUCCCAGCUGGGGCAUCUGACUGCAGCUCCCCGAUGCAAUGAUUGUCUCUGACACGGUUUCUUUUUCUCCUCACAGCACAUUUCCUCCCAGUUUACAGAUUCUCUCCCUUCCUGAAACUGCUCAAAACCCAUCUUGAACUGGCUUUAAAUAGGUUCCCCUGUGACAAUGCAGGGAAUGUGCUCUACUCCAAUCAUCUUUAUGGACAUUUUGGAAUCAUAUCAGAUUUUAAAGCAAGAGCUAUUUAAGAGAUUUACGAAGGGCCAGCCAGUCCUGCUGCAUAAACAACUUUGGAAAUGAGAAGAAACUGCAUUGUUUGGAUCCCAGCAGUCAGAUCGGCCCUGGAGCUCUGCUUCCAAACACAGUGAAAAGCCCUUCCCAGGGCAGGGGGCAGAGUCCAUGCCCUAGUGCUGGAAACAGUUCAUCGGGCAUCUGCCAGGCGAGAGGUGCCAGCUCCGAAUCUGCCUCCCUUGCUCCCCACCCUGCGCCUCUUGUGCUGAAUCCAGCAUAUAGGAAGCUGCUGAGAGAGGUGUUCUGAGGAUGGAGAUGACAGCUGCAGGCAUCCGUGAUGUCUUCCUGCUGCCACACUCACAGACAUGGCAAUGGGCUGGAAAUUCAGCUGACCUACAAGGCCAAGUUAGGGCACCCUAACGCCCAUCCUCUCAUCCGAGUGCCAUGCUGGGAGGGUAUGAACAGGGAUGGGCUUUCAUCCUUUAACCAUUUGGUAAACGUCAGGCAAUCGUCUGUGUUCUCAACUCAGGACUAAGUGAAGGGAUAACUCGCUAACAGGCUCCUGACAAAGAUAAGAACAAAAGCAAAUAUGCACAUCAGACAAGACUGCUGAUGGGAGCAAACUGCUCUUAAGUACAGCAGGUGACAGCUGAAGCACAAGCCAUCCGUAGCUGGGCAACUAAAGGUUGCUGUCAAGGGUGGUGGUGGUGGUGGGGUCUCCACACCACUGUUGUGCCCAUAGAGAUGCUCAGGAACUGGUCCACAAGAGGAAGGUAGUUCUAGGAAUAGCCUAUUCCCCGUUUCCCUUUUCCAUUCUACUAGGUCUGCUCGUGCGUGGAGGCAUGCACUUUAUAGGUGAGCACAAUGAUACUCGAAUACUUGUGUACAGUGUUAUCAGUCAGCAAGAGUGGGGAUCGGCAGGCAGCUAGGGUGGUUAAGAACAAAGUGUAAUGACCUCAAUACAUGCAUGAAAAUGUCACAAGCUAAAGUGCGUUUGUCACAGCAGGCUAGAUGUGCACCACAAGUCAAAGCAUAAUUCUUCACUCAGUCAUCACUCAAACAUUAGGCUGACUACCUUGUGCUUAACAACAGCACUAGUAACCAGUAAACAAUAUCCACUCUCCAUGGAAAUAGCUUUUAUAUAUAGUAAGAGAAGCAUUUAUUUAUUUCGGUUCCUGACAUACAGAUAUAAGUAUUUGUGUAUGCUAAUUACAUGGCUGGGAGUCCUUAGGCAGCUUCCGGAUAAGCCACAGUGGGUAGAAAGACCAAACCUUGAUUAAAAGUGUUAAACUUCAGCCUUGUCCCUAAACAGAGGGACAGAGGGGUUAGAGACUGCACUCAGUCACCAAUGGCCAAAUGAUUUGCUGAUCUUAUCUACUUAAUGAAACCAUGAUAACCCCAAAAUGAUGGGGUUCAUAGAACUUCUAAACUGACAUACACACCAAGAAGAAAGGCAUACUGCAACACCGUGCAGAGAGGUUCCUACAAACAGGACCCUUCUGGAUCUUGUCCUGUGUGCUGAGAGAGAGGGUGGGGGGUAACUCUCAAUGGACAGUAAGGUUCUGUAUAAUUUUGUUUGCAAGCACCUGGGUUGGCUCCUUUGUUCUCAUUUAAAGCCAUCUAUGUUUAUGUCCCUGCAAGCUACAUGUACAGCUCUUUCUUCAAUAUUUAAGAGUCGACUGUGUUAGAAAAUUCUAGGGUAUGUAUCAUUUAUCUUCUUCUGAUCAUAAAAAUACUUAAGAUUAGUUGAUUAAAAAAUAGGAGAAGGUUUCAUGAUGAGGUUCUGCAGAGCCUUGGAUUUUUGUAUUAAGAGGUUUACUAUGAAGUAUUGGAAACACUGGUUUGAGACAUUAGGUCAUUCUGAUUAAAUUAAUGGCAGAUGGGAGGAAUGGAGGCUAAUUUGGACUAAAGGUUCCCUGCAACCCUACCUCAAAUAUGGGCAGCCUGGUGAUUGCUUUAAAAGUUGACCUGCUCUCUGCUAUAUUCUCAUUUCUUUAAAGAUCUUGCUGACUGGGAGAAAUUGGCAUAGUUAGCUUUCUGGAACUGGACUGAGCUUCUAGAAGCCACUUAAUUAUCGGCUCCAUUUGGAGAAGUCUGUGGAAUACCAUAUCAUUUUACAUCUUGUUUCUUGGGAGAUUUAACCAUGUGAACACGUUCAGUGUCCUAUAAUAGAAAUUUUUUAAAGAAUUGAAAAGUCAUAUUAAGCAAACCAAGACACUCUGAAGGAGACAGACAUUGUGAGUUUUCUCAUUUGUGGAUCCUAGACUUUAUAGACACAUAAAAUCCUGUUUGUACAGAUGGUAUGAAGGCAAGAUGUUUUGGAAACAAAGGAGACAGACUGGAGACAAGGCUAAGAAGGUGGCAGAUAGUGAUACGUUGGCACAGGGUGUCAUUGCUAGCUUUAGUCAUCAACUCACACACCUGGGAGGAGGGACUGAUUUCUUAGCAUGUGUGAUGAAAGCCAACAGGAACAAGCCUGUAAGCAGUGUCCCUCACGGUCUGCUUCAGCUUCCCCAACCCCUGCUUCCAGCCUUGACUUCCCUCUUUGGUUUCCCUCCACAAUGGAGCAUGACCUGUGUGCCAAAUAAACCCUUCCGUACCCAAGUUGGUUUUGGUGAGUGCUUUAUCACAGCAACAGAGAAGCAGACUAGCAGAGGGGAAUAUACUCAAUGCAUAUUGCCCACUUGUGCGCCUUAUUUAACCCUUUAUAAUAAAUCUUUUUUGUUUUGUUUUUGUUUUUGUUUUUCGAGACAGGGUUUCUCUGUGUCUUUGGAGGCUGUCCUGGAACUAGCUCUUAUAGACCAGGCUGGUCUCGAACUCACAGAGAUCCACCUGCUUCUGCCUCCCGAGUGCUGGGAUUAAAGGCGUGUGCCACCAUCGCCCGGCUAUUAAUUCUUAAAGAAAAGUUGAAGUUCAGUGUAGUCAUAGAAUGGACUCAUAUACAAGCAUAUCGAUGGUUUUUUCAAGACUAAUGAAUUACUUUUAAAAUACAUAGCAUGCUAUCCAGAAUCCAGGCAAGAUAGAUAUCACCCCAUUUAAUGUGACCUAACAUAUACGAGCUUGUAGGUG